UGGUAAAGACCCCCUGUGUCUCUCCACUUUUGUCCCCUCUCCGACCCCAGGAGUGUGCAGCUCUCGCUGCAGAGCUCCACACCUGCAGGGAGCAGCUCGUGCAGAGAGAGGAGGAGAUCGCCAACCUGAAGGCGGAGAGAAACAACACCAGGCUGCUGGUGGAACAUUUGGAGUUCCUUGUCUCCGGGCACGAGAGAGCUCUUCAAAAAAACAGUCAUACGGCGACAGGCAAAGACUCCGGCCGGCGUGUCCAGUGAGGCGGAGGUGCUCAAGGUCCUCAACUGCAUAUUGGAGAA